GAUGAAGAACGUAGCGAAAUGCGAUAAGUAAUGUGAAUUGCAGAAUUCAGUGAAUCAUCGAAUCUUUGAACGCACAUUGCGCCCGCCAGUAUUCUGGCGGGCAUGCCUGCUCGAGCGUCAUUUCAACCAUCAAGCCCUGCUUGCGUUGGGGUCCUGCGGCUGCCCGCAGGCCCUGAAAACCAGUGGCGGGCUCGCUAGUCACACCGAGCGCAGUAAUACAUCUCGCUUUGGGCGUGCGGCGGGUUCUUGCCGUUAAACACCCCCUUUUUACCAAGGUUGACCUCGGAUCAGGUAGGAAUACCCGCUGAACUUAAGCAUAUCAAUAAGCGGAGGA
rnacentral:misc_RNA from 1 species